rnacentral:misc_RNA from 1 species
AAAAACAACGAGUCAGCUUGAAUGCUAGUGUGGCGCGCGCCAUGCGACACUGUUAAAUUGCGGGGACCCCCUGAAGCUUUGUCCUACCAAGUGCUUGUGCGCGAAAGCGCCAGCAUGGCCGAGCCAAUCGCCCUGGGUAUGGUAACAACGGACAAGGAUGUUAUAUAUGGGUGAUCCGCAGCCAAGUCCUACGUCGAAUCGCGCAUGUUCGAUAUGGAACGGGUUCACAGACUAGAUAGCAGUGGGUGGCACACACACGUGUGUCGCUUAAGAUAUAGUCGGUCUCGUGCCGAAACGCACGGGGAGGUGAUCGACGCUCUUGCGUGUCGCUGUAUUCGACAACUGCAAGUGUGCGUCACAUGCACAUAUACGUUCCGUAGGUGAACCUGCGGAAGGAUCAUUAACACAGUGGGCGGCCCUAGCGCUGCAUCCCAUAUCCAACCCCAUGUGAACCGGUGACGUGCGGCGACUCCAGCUGCGUGUUUCAUUUUCGAACCAUCCUAGCCGAAACACAACUAAAGUUCCAUACAUACAUACAUGUUACAACUCUUAGCAAUGGAUAUCUUGGUUCUCACAACG